UGAUCUUCAUGGAGGGGAAGAGAGUCUCUUUUUAUAGAGGAAUCCUAAAGUUGAACUCCGAUUCAGAUUUCAAACAGAGAGAAAGACUUCCAACGGGAGUCUUCUUUCUCUCGCUCUUUUUCUUUUCUCUUCUUUUUUUUAAAUUUUAUUUUUUGCUUUGAUAUCUGUGCUGGUGGGGGUUGGGGUCAAGUGGGUGAGACCCGAUUGGGUUGGGGAAUCACAGGGUUGGAGAUGGAUAAGGUAUUUUUCUAGUCUGGCCAAAUUAUUUUAAAUAUAAUCUUAUUUAUUAAUUAUUUAUUGUAGAUCAUGUCUCUUAGUCUUAUUGUCCAGUAACCAUUCAAUUUAUGGUCCAAUAUGGUGGCUGCAAGCUACCGCAGUACCAUUCAAUGAUCUGACCCAAGUCCGAUUCAACCCAUCUAACUUGCGUUGGCUGGCUGGGAGGUCGCGC
rnacentral:lncRNA from 1 species